UAUUUCCAGGUCUCUGGUUCUAUUUUGCUCAUUCGUUUGUUUUGUUGACUAGGUUCCAUUUACAGGUGAGAUCAUAUGGUAUUUGUCAUUCACCACCUGGCUUAUUUCGCUUAGCAUAAUGCUUUCCAGUUCCAUCCAUGCUGUUGCAAAGGGUAGGAG